UACGAAGGGGGCUAGCGUUGUUCGGAUUUACUGGGCGUAAAGCGCACGUAGGCGGAUUGUUAAGUCGGGGGUGAAAUCCUGGAGCUCAACUUCAGAAUUGCCUUCGAUACUGGCUUUCUAGAGGCUGGAAGAGGUUAGUGGAAUUCCCAGUGUAGAGGUGAAAUUCGUAGAUAUUGGGAAGAACACCAGUGGCGAUGGCGGCUAACUGGUCCAGAUCUGACGCUGAGGUGCGAAAGCGUGGGGAGCAAACAGG
rnacentral:rRNA from 1 species